UAGGGAAUCUUCGGCAAUGGACGAAAGUCUGACCGAGCAACGCCGCGCGAGUGAAGAAGGUUUUCGGAUCGUAAAACUCUGUUGUUAGAGAAGAACAAGGACGUUAGUAACUGAACGUCCCCUGACGGUAUCUAACCAGAAAGCCACGGCUAACUACGUGCCAGCAGCCGCGGUAAUACGUAGGUGGCAAGCGUUGUCCGGAUUUAUUGGGCGUAAAGCGAGCGCAGGCGGUUUCUUAAGUCUGAUGUGAAAGCCCCCGGCUCAACCGGGGAGGGUCAUUGGAAACUGGGAGACGUGAGUGCAGGAGAGGAGAGUGGAAUUCCAUGUGGAGCGGUGAAAUGCGUAGAUGUAUGGAGGAACACCAGUGGUGAAGGCGGCUCUCUGGUCUGUAACUGACGCUGAGGCUCGAAAGCGUGGGGAGCAAACAGG
rnacentral:rRNA from 1 species